rnacentral:rRNA from 1 species
AUUGAACGCUGGCGGCAGGCCUAACACAUGCAAGUCGAACGGUAACAGGAAGAAGCUUGCUUCUUUGCUGACGAGUAGCGGACGGGUGAGUAAUGUCUGGGAAACUGCCUGAUGGAGGGGGAUAACUACUGGAAACGGUAGCUAAUACCGCAUAACGUCGCAAGACCAAAGAGGGGGACCUUCGGGCCUCUUGCCAUCGGAUGUGCCCAGAUGGGAUUAGCUAGUAGGUGGGGUAACGGCUCACCUAGGCGACGAUCCCUAGCUGGUCUGAGAGGAUGACCAGCCACACUGGAACUGAGACACGGUCCAGACUCCUACGGGAGGCAGCAGUGGGGAAUAUUGCACAAUGGGCGCAAGCCUGAUGCAGCCAUGCCGCGUGUAUGAAGAAGGCCUUCGGGUUGUAAAGUACUUUCAGCGGGGAGGAAGGGAGUAAAGUUAAUACCUUUACUCAUUGACGUUACCCGCAGAAGAAGCACCGGCUAACUCCGUG